UUGACCUCAAAUCAGGUAGACACCCCA
rnacentral:rRNA from 1 species